AGAGGGAUGACUUAAAUGAGAGUAUAUGCCUAAGAAGCAGAAGAUUUGAGGUUCAAAUCCCAGUACUACUU
rnacentral:tRNA from 1 species